UUAAGUUCAGCGGGUAUCCCUACCUGAUCCGAGGUCAAAAGUGAGAAAGAGGCUUUAUGGUUGCCGUUGCUGAGGGACUAAGACGCAAAAUGUGCUGCGCUUACUACCAAAACACUGGCUGCCAAUUACUUUGAGGCGAGUCUUUGUGAAAAGACAAAACGCCCAACACAAGCAAAGCUUGAGGGUACAAAUGACGCUCG
rnacentral:misc_RNA from 1 species